UACAGAGGGUGCGAGCGUUGUUCGGAAUUAUUGGGCGUAAAGGGCGCGUAGGCGGUGCGGUAAGUCACCUGUGAAAUCUCCUGGCUCAACUGGGAGCUUGCAGGCGAAACUGCCGUGCUGGAGUGUGGGAGAGGUGCGUGGAAUUCCUGGUGUAGCGGUGAAAUGCGUAGAUAUCAGGAGGAACACCGGCGGUGUAGACGGCUUUCUGGACCGUAGCUGACGCUGAGACACGAAAGCGUGGGUAGCAAACAGG
rnacentral:rRNA from 1 species